CCUACGGGUGGCAGCAGUGGGGAAUAUUGGGCAAUGGUCGCAAGCCUGACCCAGCAACGCCGCGUGAAGGAAGAAGGCUUUCGGGUUGUAAACUUCUUUUCUCAGGGACGAUGAAAGUGACAGUACCUGAGGAAUAAGCCACGGAUAACUACGUGCCAGCAGCCGCGGUAAUACGUAGGAGGCAAGCGUUAUCCGGCUUUACUGGGUGUAAAGGGCGUGUAGGCGGGACUGCAAGUCAGAUGUGAAAACCAAGGGCUCAACCUGUGGCCUGCAUUUGAAACUGUAGGUCUGGAGUACUGGAGAGGCAGACGGAAUUCCUAGUGUAGCGGUGAAAUGCGUAGAUAUUAGGAGGAACACCAGUGGCGAAGGCGGUCUGCUGGACAGCAACUGACGCUGAGGCGCGAAAGCGUGGGGAGCAAACAGGAUUAGAUACCCCAGUAGUC
rnacentral:rRNA from 1 species